rnacentral:rRNA from 1 species
AUUGAACGCUGGCGGCAGGCCUAACACAUGCAAGUCGAGCGGAUGAAGGGAGCUUGCUCCUGGAUUCAGCGGCGGACGGGCGAGUAAUGCCUAGGAAUCUGCCUGGUAGUGGGGGCUAACGUCCGGAAACGGGCGCUAAUACCGCAUACGUCCAGAGGGAGAAAGUGGGGGAUCUUCGGACCACACGCUAUCAGAUGAGCCUAGGUCGGAUUAGCUAGUUGGUGGGGUAAAGGCCUACCAAGGCGACGAUCCGUAACUGGUCUGAGAGGCUGAUCAGACACACUGGAACUGAGACACGGUCCAGACUCCUACGGGAGGCAGCAGUGGGGAAUAUUGGACAAUGGGCGAAAGCCUGAUCCAGCCAUGCCGCGUGUGUGAAGAAGGUCUUCGGAUUGUAAAGCACUUUAAGUUGGGAGGAAGGGCAGUAAGUGAAUACCUUGCUGUUUUGACGUUACCAACAGAAUAAGCACCGGCUAACUUCGUG